CCUUGAGCCCUGACAUACACAAAAACAAUACAGCACCGGAAAUCUUCAUCACUGUGACAUGUUGGCCAGAAUGGCAAAAAAAAAAAAAUCCCUCCUCAUUUCAUAUGUAACAAAGCUGAUGGUGACACUUUUCAAUGUCUGCAGGACUUUGGCCGAGAGAUCGACGGACUCUGCUCCUUUCUCAGUUUGUCUCCUUCAGCUGAGGAGAAGGAAAAAAUCAUGAUGGGAACAAAGUUUGAAAAUAUGAAACAAAACAAAAUGGCAAAUUAUUCAAUGAUUGAAAUUAUGGAUCAGACUGUGUCUCCAUUCAUGAGAAAAGGGAAAGUUGGUGACUGGAAAAACCAUUUCACUGUGGCACAGAAUGAAAUGUUUGAUGAAGACUACAAGCAGAAAAUGAGGAAUCCUGCACUGGAGUUUCAUACAGAGCUUUAAGGAAUCUUGACCAGAUGGUGCAUAAUGAAAUUCUCAAUUGAUGUUUGAUUAAUUUGUUUAAAAUGUUGAUGUUACUGAGCCACUUGUUCAACUUGUUUCAUAGUCAUGUCACUCCAGUCA